rnacentral:rRNA from 1 species
CACGUAGGGUGCGAGCGUUGUCCGGAAUUAUUGGGCGUAAAGAGCUUGUAGGCGGUUUGUCGCGUCUGCCGUGAAAAUCCGGGGCUCAACCCCGGACUUGCGGUGGGUACGGGCAGACUAGAGUGUGGUAGGGGAGACUGGAAUUCCUGGUGUAGCGGUGAAAUGCGCAGAUAUCAGGAGGAACACCGAUGGCGAAGGCAGGUCUCUGGGCAUUAACUGACGCUGAGGAGCGAAAGCAUGGGGAGCGAACAGG